AUUGAACGCUGGCGGCAGGCUUAACACAUGCAAGUCGAGCGGGGGAAGGUAGCUUGCUACCGGACCUAGCGGCGGACGGGUGAGUAAUGCUUAGGAAUCUGCCUAUUAGUGGGGGACAACAUCUCGAAAGGGAUGCUAAUACCGCAUACGUCCUACGGGAGAAAGCAGGGGAUCUCCGGACCUUGCGCUAAUAGAUGAGCCUAAGUCGGAUUAGCUAGUUGGUGGGGUAAAGGCCGACCAAGGCGACGAUCUGUAGCGGGUCUGAGAGGAGGAUCCGCCACACUGGGACUGAGACACGGCCCAGACUCCUACGGGAGGCAGCAGUGGGGAAUAUUGGACAAUGGGGGGAACCCUGAUCCAGCCAUGCCGCGUGUGUGAAGAAGGCCUUAUGGUUGUGAAGCACUUUAAGCGAGGAGGAGGCUACUCUAGUUAAUACCUAGGGAUAGUGGACGUUACUCGCAGAAUAAGCACCGGCUAACUCUGUGCCAGCCGCCGCGGUAA
rnacentral:rRNA from 1 species